rnacentral:rRNA from 1 species
AUUGAACGCUGGCGGCAGGCCUAACACAUGCAAGUCGAACGAGUGGCGGACGGGUGAGUAAUGUCUGGGAAACUGCCUGAUGGAGGGGGAUAACUACUGGAAACGGUACCUAAUACCGCAUACCAUCGGAUGUGCCCAGAUGGGGUUAGCUAGUUGGUGGGGUAACGGCUUACCAAGGCGACGAUCCCUAGCAGGUCUGAGAGGAUGACCAGCCACACUGGAACUGAGACACGGUCCAGACUCCUACGGGAGGCAGCAGUGGGGAAUAUUGCACAAUGGGCGCAAGCGUGAUGAAGCCAUGGCGCGUGUAUGAAGAAGGCCUUCGGGUUGUAAAGUACUUUCAGCUGGGAGGCGUUACCCGCAGAAGAAGCACCGGCUAACUCCGUGCCAGCAGCCGCGGUAAUAC